CGAUCGAACCCUAUGUAGGUUUCCUACAUAUCAUGUCCCUUAUAAAUCAGAUCAAACGUAGUUUUGGAAAAGUAAUGGAUAAAAUAAACUUAGAAACAAAAAUCUUUUUGAAUCUUUCAUUUAUAAUUUUUUUUGUUUUUUUUUCAAAUACAAAACAGGAAGUACUAUAACAAAAGACUCGAAAAUCUUAACUAGACUGACAGACUCGAUACUACUGUACAAGACUAAUAAUUAAAAGACAACAUAAAAUAGACUAAAAAAUAAAACGUUUCCUCAAGCAGCUCGUGCAUGUAAUGGUCUUGACUAGAAUGGUCCUGGGGUAUUUGUCAUGCUCGAGUCCUGGUACAUGGAUCCACACCUGAAUGAGAAAAAUAAGACCAAAUAGAUCAGUGACUCAAGACACUAUGCGACACCAUAACACCUCCUAUUGGACACACGCAAGACAUGACUGGGCUACUUUUGCAAAAUUAACCUAUGUGGCCAAUGAUGACUAUUAGUGCAAACUCAACAAAGGUGACCUCAAAGACGUGGAAAUACCUCACUAAGGCUUAAAUGGAUUCAACUCCCAUUUUAUGUUGGCCAGAAGUGACCCAUUUUGCAAAAACGAUCGAUAUGGCCAGAAGUGACUAAAGAUGCAAACUCAAUAAGGACGUGCCUUAAAGUAAUAUGACUCAUAGUUGUGAACUCAAGAUCCUAAGACAUAGGUAAUUGAACCACUUUAUGAAAAUGACCCCAUUUUGCAAGAAUGGCCGGUGUGGCCAAAAGUGGCUAGACGUGCGAUUUGGCUAAGACACCGCAAAGCUAAGAACAUAAGAUACUAGGAAGACCGGACCUUAUGUGGGUUGCCUACGUAUCUCGCCCCGAAAGUCGAGAAUCAGGUUCGCGUAGUUCAGGAAGAUUGGAUAUGGGAGAAAGCUUAAAAAUGACACUAAUUUGGAAAAAAUAUUUUUUUUUGUCUUUUUGGAAAAUGAUGGAAAAUGUAAAAUCUUUUAGAAUUUUUUCUUUCUCUUUUUUUUUUUUGAAUUUUUGGGAAAUAAUGGAAAAGUGUAAAAUAUUUUUGGAUUUUUUUUUUGAAUUUUUGGAAAAUAAUGGGAAAGUGUAAAAUCUUUUUGGAUUUUUAAAUUUUUUUUUUUUUGAAAAAGUAGUGAAAGAAAAAUAUAACUGGGCCCUACUUGCUUCUUCUAUCACCCUUCUUUCCCAAGCACCAAUCUGUCAAAUGACCUUUUUACCCUCAAAUAUGCAACAUGUAUCACAUAGGGAUGAUUGAAUGUAUUUUUGGGUCACGCGCCCAUUUUGAUAAAAUUUGGAUAGGCUUCCUACAAAGGGAUACGGUACCUGGGACCGAGCCCUGCUAGGUCUAAAUGAUAUGAUGCAAAUAAAAAUGACCUAAAGACUGACCUAAGUUUGGGGUUCACUAACAAGGCAAUUCGGGGGAGCGUAUGGUCGAUGGUGGCUGCUCAAGCUUUCCACCCACUCCAUACGUCCGAUGCCCCCCCCCUAAAUUAAGGGUGACUUUCGUGCACGCGACGCGUACUCCGAGACUUGUUGUAGAAAGAAGACCCAUGAUUAUGCAAAUGAUGACAGUUUAUAAAGCAGUAACACGUUAAGAAAAGCAAUAAACAAAUAACCAACAAAACAAGGAAAUAAGACAAACAAAGCAAACAAAGAAAACAAACACCUCAAUCGAAUAUCCUAAAAGCCAACAAGAUCAAGUACGAACAUGCAAGUCCCAAGCAGAGUCGCCAGAGCUGUCACACCCCUUUUUUAACCAAUUUCACUAACCCUCUUAAAUUAAUAAAAAGAUUUGUAAAACUCAAAAGGGUUUUUAAUUAAAAAGUGACAAAAUUGUGUUCAAAAGAAAAUAACUCAGAGUUGCUACCUGACUUUGAUUUAAGUGUGUCAGGUCAACGUUUUUUUUAAAAAUAAUUUCUCUUUUAAAACACUUCGGACUCCAAACUAAGUCUACACCAGAGAUUUGGAUAAGGAGAUUCAUUUGACUCGGGGAGAAGGUGUUAGGUAUUCCCCAAGUCCCGUAACUAGUACGGUUGCACACUCAAUCUUGUUGGCUUUAAAGGAUAUUUCUAAUUGAGGUAAAAGCACAUAAAAAAAAUAAACAAUCAAAAGGAAGUUCAAGGUUGUCCCCACCCAAUAAAAUAAAACAAGAAUAAUAGUACUACGGGUUUUGCUCUCGGCCUCCAAAUACAAAUACUUCGGGGUAUACCCGGAUAAAAUAUAUAUACAAAUCCUUCAAGUCAUUUCCCGGAUAAAUUUAACUAAGGGAACGACCUCUCACCUCAAAACUAACAAAAUCCUAAGGCUUGCUUAUCCAAAUGAUGUCGGCCUAUGCAUGCUCCCGGCGAAAAUGUAAUAAAGCAAUUCUUACUUUUAAUUCCCGAACCCCACGACACACUUUGAUACUCUAAAAUUUUGCAUAGAUGUUUUACGUCAUUUUUUAAGUUACACUCUAGCGAAUACUCUUUAUGUUAUAAUAGCACCCAACACUUAAUUCAAACAAGUUGUAAUUUAAGACUCUAAAUCUUAUUGUAGAACUCAAACCAAACAAACAGAAACAUUUUUCACAUCUGGCAUGAAAGUCAACAGAGAAUUCAUAACAAGCAAUUCAACACUAAGUUAUUGAAAUAUCAACUAAAAGAAGUGGGAUGAGAUCAGACCUUGAUAACAAGAAAACAGAAAUAGUUUCGAACAAAGAACCGCGACCAAGAUUCGACAACGGACCUUGAAUUGGUACCGAAAAACUCGAAACCCAAAUACGACCUCAAUCAAACUCCAUGAGCCGAGAUCAAAACAGAAGUCGAAAUUUUCUGUAUGAGUGAACUCAAACAGAAGCUUAGAAGAACAAAAUCAGAUUCAAAAUCAAAACGCCCCGUCUUCUUUUCCUCCGUUCUAUUUUGCUGCUACUGUCCCGUCCGUUCCUCUUUUUAUUUCAUCUAUGUGUCGUGUGUGGCAGAAGCGUGGAGGCCGAAGGUGGAAAUGGCUGGGCCGUUUUUAUCUUUGGAGAGGAGGAGGUUUUAGGUUGUUUGGCUGAUAUUUCGGCGAUUUUGAGAGAUGAAGAAGAUGGGGUCGCGGCAGAAGCUUAGUGGUGAGAGUGUGGUGGUCGGCGGGUCUGGUGAGGUGAAAGGCGGCUGUGUUCGAAGUUCAGGGGUGGUCUGGUUGGUUUCCGGCGGGUCUUGGGCGGCGACGGUGAGCAGCUCGUGGUGUUAGGUUGUUGAUGUUCAGAAGAAGAAGAAGGUUCCCCUAGGGUUUUUUGGUCUUGUUUCCAAUAGGGUUCAGCUAGGGUGUAGAAGAAGAUCUUUUGGGUUAGGGUGUAAGGGUUUAGGAGGAAUGGGAAGUGGGUUAAAGCCCGUUUGGGUUAGCUGAAUUUAAGUAGCUUUUAAGCAGUAAAUACUUAAAAGCACUUUUUAAGUGUUGGAGCUGAAUUUAUAAUUAAUCAGUUACAUAUUUGGAUAAAAG
rnacentral:lncRNA from 1 species